rnacentral:rRNA from 1 species
UACAGAGGGUGCGAGCGUUGUCCGGAAUCACUGGGCGUAAAGGGCGCGUAGGCGGCCUGGCAAUGUCUGUGGGUGAAAGCCUGCAGGACUUAACUACUGCUAGUCGGCCAUAGAUACUGUUGGGCUGGAGUCGACUAGAGGCAGAUGGAAUUCCGGGUGUAAGCGGUGGAAUGCGUAGAGAUCCGGAAGAACACCGGUGGCGAAGGCGGUCUGCUGGGGUCGAACUGACGCUGAGGCGCGACAGCGGUGGGGAGCAAACAGGAUUAA